UGUAUUCUGGUUAAAGGGAUUGUGGCCGAUUUACCAGUAUCUGUUAACCACUGCGCAAACUCCAUCUGGUGGAUAGCCAGCACAGGGCGCUAUUAAAAAAAAACAGGAGCAGUUUUGACCAGUUUUUCAACGGACGUUUCGGUUUGGUAUCCCUAGAGACACAACCGUUUGAUGGAUUAGUGAUUGACGCUGAUUGUAAAAAUACCCGCUGGUGACUUAUUCUUGACGGCUCUCUGGAAGGAUUAUAACCAUCAGAAGGGAAUUGUUUUACAUUAGUAGUGAGGUCGCCAAUGUGUAGAGUGAUUGACUAUUAAGUGCAGUAUGACUGCGCGAGAGACAACGUUAGUCCGUUGAGAGAUACCCGAACUAUACCCACCUUGGAUUUGGAUUAUAAACCCAGGACAAUAUUACUUGUACGAUGUCGAAAUCACAGAAACGGAAAGCCACGAUACGGAGGCCAGGUCACAGCCACCAGGGCUCUAGGAAGCCAAAUUCAACUCAUGGGCAGGAUAAGAAGCAGGU